UGAGGGAUGGCCAAGUGGCAAGGCGCUCGCCUGUUAAGCGAGAGAUGCGUGGGUUCGAAUCCCACUCCCUCAG
rnacentral:tRNA from 1 species